UACGGAGGGUGCAAGCGUUAUCCGGAUUCACUGGGUUUAAAGGGUGCGUAGGUGGGCAGGUAAGUCAGUGGUGAAAUCUCCGGGCUUAACCCGGAAACUGCCAUUGAUACUAUGUUUCUUGAAUUUUCUGGAGGUAAGCGGAAUAUGUCAUGUAGUGGUGAAAUGCUUAGAUAUGACAUAGAACACCAAUUGCGAAGGCAGCUUGCUACAGGGAUAUUGACACUGAGGCACGAAAAGCGUGGGGAUCAAACAGG
rnacentral:rRNA from 1 species